rnacentral:lncRNA from 1 species
UCAAGAAUUUCAAGGCGAUGGUGAAAAAUCAAAGUGUCACAAAAUCAAAACCUCAUAAUCAAAUCAUGGUAGUGAAUAUAUUAGCAACACAUUCAAGAGUAUAUGUAAAGAUCAUGGUAUUUAUCAUUCUUUAAUGGCAAAGAGGACGAGUAGGACUCAUAAAAAUGACUCCAUGCUUUUUGAAAACUAAGAAGAUGCAAAAGAAGUUCUAGGCCGAAGCUACUCAGUGUGCCAUAUCUUUGUUGAAUCGCUGUCCCAUCGAAGUGUGCAAAAUGACUCCAAAGGAAGCAUGGAGUGGAUUCCAGCCAAGUAUAUCACAUUUUUUGAUUUUCAAGAGCGUUACUUUAUCUCAUGUUCUGAAAGAAAAGAUAAAACUAGAUGCAAGAGAGAAAUAUAUCUUAGUUGGCUAUGUUCAAGAUCAAAAGUUAAUAAGCUAUACAACCCAAUGAAUAAGUAGGUGAUCACUAGUAGAGAUGUUUUGUUCAACAUUGGAAUUGGCUAAAGCAGCAAGAUUAUAACAUAAUUUUUUUCCUUUCCAUGAUGAUGAACAAGUUGAUGUGAUUCCCUCUCAACUAACACCAUCAACUCCACCUCCAAGUUAUGGUCAAGAUAUACGUUCAUCUUCAUCAUUUUCAAGUAAAAUACCACAUCAUUUUAAUAGUCUUAGAGAGAUUUAUGGUGAUACAGAGGAGUUAUGUCAACAUCUUGGGAAAUUAACUUUGUUUUGUCUAUUUACCGAUCAUGCUGCUAUUGAUUUCAAGGACACAAUUCAAGAUGAUAAAUGAAAGAAAGACAUUAAAGAAAUGAUUAAAGCAAUUAAGAAUGAUUAGGCAAUUGGAAACUAGUUGAGUGGACAAGAUGUUUAUUUGUUUAGGAGUGGAUUAGAAAAUUAAUUAAUUAACGAGAAGAAAAUUAUACAAUAAAAUAUUACAUUAAUCGGGGUCCAAUUGCAUGAUUCUCCUUGGGUUGGAGAAGACUCACUCUCGAAUCUUUAGUCACUCAUCCAACACCUCACAAGGACAGUGAUUCAACAAAUAUGUAAAUUUCAUAGAUAUUAUCCAUAUAUCUUGAUUCUAAAGAUCAUGAAAAAAUCACGCAAUUAAUUAAAUUUUUUCACUUCUAUCCGACAGUAUCCCAACAAAUUCACUGAAACAUUUAGAGUUAUUGCGUUGCAAAAUUUUGGGAUUUCCAAAUGGUCCAAGUAUAUUUGACCCUAUGACUUUUUCAACCACGUGGCCUUCUACUAGAAACUGACCAUUUAAGUGUGCAAAUUAUUUCAUUUACAUCAUUGCGGUUCCAAUUUUACCAACUGCCAUAAUUUCAUGAUGAUCAUCUUAUGACAUUGAGAGUUGAUUCUCAAAAUCAGUAAGUUGAUCCAUAUUCUUCCUCAAAGAUUUAUAAAUUUGUGUCCGACUCCAUCUUAACAUCGAUACAACAAUAUGAAUUGUUGUCCCCACAGGUGUUGCUCGCCAAUCUCAUAACCAACGUUAGCCCCUCAAUUCCUGGAAAACUCUUCAUCUCUGUGUUUUCCAUUUGCAACAUAUCUACAGUCAAGCUCUCGACUAAACCCAUCAUUGCACUAGUCUCUUUUAGCCAUAACAUGCAUGCCAUUGCCACCGCCUCGUGCCUCUCACCCAUCUUCAUAAAGGUCACUCACCGUCUACUGUGGAGGGAUAACCAAUCUGGCCACCUUUUUGUGUCACAACCUGAGGAUAUUGACAAAUUUGUAUUAGCUCAUGUCUACGGUUUCCAUUAUCAACCAUGAAAAUAAGACGUUUAACCUGUCCUCCUCGAUCCAUUAUUGGGAGCAUAGACUAACUAUGAUAUCAACUAACACAUGCAAAAGCUUAAAUAAUAACAAAUACGGGAUUAAAAAUGAAAAUUCCCAUACAAAUUAAUCAUUUAGGUGGAUAAAUGUAAAAUAAAAAAAUAAAAAUAAAUCUCAAACUUUCUAUUCAUAUCAAAAAUCAACCACCCUACAAUUCAAUUAUAACACUAAAUUUAUUCAACACUCCUAACUAGCCUUUUAAGCAAAACAAACUCAAGAAAAUUUACUUAUUUCGAUUAAACUCCCAAUCCUCAUAAAAUGAUAAUAGACUAGUCAAUUAAAAUAAUAAAAUUGAACAAUAUAAUCUUAAAUUAAACGGACUCUUGCAUUAUAGAUUUAUUUGGCCACAUGGAGG